rnacentral:rRNA from 1 species
GCCAUGCAUGCCCGCUCACCCGGGACGCGGCGGACGGCUCAGGACAACGGUUGCACCCCCCGCGGCGGUCCCUGCUAGCCGGACACCACUGGCAACCCGGCGCCAAGACGUGCGCGCAAGGGCGGGCGCCCGCGGGCGAGCAGCGUGACGCAGCGACGGCCCGCCCGGGCUUCCGGGGCAUCACCCGGUCGGCGCGGUCGCGGCGCGCC